rnacentral:rRNA from 1 species
CCUACGGGAGGCAGCAGUGAGGAAUAUUGGUCAAUGGACGAGAGUCUGAACCAGCCAAGUAGCGUGAAGGAGGACUGCCCUAUGGGUUGUAAACUUCUUUUAUAUGGGAAUAAAAUGCUCCACGUGUGGGAUUUUGUAUGUACCAUAUGAAUAAGGAUCGGCUAACUCCGUGCCAGCAGCCGCGGUAAUACGGAGGAUCCGAGCGUUAUCCGGAUUUAUUGGGUUUAAAGGGAGCGUAGGUGGAUUGUUAAGUCAGUUGUGAAAGUUUGCGGCUCAACCGUAGAAUUGCAGUUGAAACUGGCAGUCUUGAGUACAGUAGAGGUGAGCGGAAUUCGUGGUGUAGCGGUGAAAUGCUUAGAUAUCACGAAGAACUCCGAUUGCGAAGGCAGUUCACUGGACUGCAACUGACACUGAGGCUCGAAAGUGUGGGUAUCAAACAGGAUUAGAUACCCGAGUAGUC